GAUGAACGCUAGCUACAGGCUUAACACAUGCAAGUCGAGGGGCAGCGGGAUUGAAGCUUGCUUCAAUUGCCGGCGACCGGCGCACGGGUGAGUAACGCGUAUCCAACCUUCCGUACACUCAGGGAUAGCCUUUCGAAAGAAAGAUUAAUACCUGAUGGUAUCUUAAGCACACAUGUAAUUAAGAUUAAAGAUUUAUCGGCGUACGAUGGGGAUGCGUUCCAUUAGGUAGUAGGCGGGUAACGGCCCACCUAGCCAACGAUGGAUAGGGGUUCUGAGAGGAAGGUCCCCCACACUGGUACUGAGACACGGACCAGACUCCUACGGGAGGCAGCAGUGAGGAAUAUUGGUCAAUGGGCGAGAGCCUGAACCAGCCAAGUCGCGUGGAGGAAGACUGCCCUACGGGUUGUAAACUCCUUUUAUACGGGAAUAAAGUAUCCUACGUGUAGGAUUUUGUAUGUACCGUAUGAAUAAGCAUCGGCUAACUCCGUG
rnacentral:rRNA from 1 species